rnacentral:rRNA from 1 species
GAGUUUGAUCGUGGCUCAGGACGAACGCUGGCGGCGUGCUUAACACAUGCAAGUCAAGGGGGCCCAGCAAUGGGCAACCGGCGAACGGGUGCGUAACACGUGAGCAACCUACCGAACUGUGGGGGAUAGCCGGCCUAACGGCCGAGUAAUACCGCAUACGCUUUCAGUGAGGCAUUUCAUUGAAAGGAAACCUACGGGACAGAUCGAGGGGCUCGCGGCCUAUCAGCUAGUUGGCGAGGUAACGGCUCACCAAGGCAAACGACGGGUAGCUGGUCUGAGAGGAUGGCCAGCCACAUUGGGACUGAGAUACGGCCCAGACUCCUACGGGAGGCAGCAGUGGGGAAUCUUGCGCAAUGGCCUAACGGCUGACGCAGCGACGCCGCGUGUGGGAUGAAGCUCUUCGGAGUGUAAACCACUGUUGCCCGGGACGAACAGCUCGAUUUCUCGAGCCUGACGGUACCGGGUGAGGAAGCACCGGCUAACUCCGUGCCAGCCGCCGCCGUAAG